CUUGCUCUGUGGGAUCAGUGGCGAACGGGUGAGUAACACGUGAGCAACCUGCCCCUGACUCUGGGAUAAGCGCUGGAAACGGCGUCUAAUACUGGAUAUGUGACGUGAUCGCAUGGUCUGCGUCUGGAAAGAAUUUCGGUUGGGGAUGGGCUCGCGGCCUAUCAGCUUGUUGGUGAGGUAAUGGCUCACCAAGGCGUCGACGGGUAGCCGGCCUGAGAGGGUGACCGGCCACACUGGGACUGAGACACGGCCCAGACUCCUACGGGAGGCAGCAGUGGGGAAUAUUGCACAAUGGGCGCAAGCCUGAUGCAGCAACGCCGCGUGAGGGACGACGGCCUUCGGGUUGUAAACCUCUUUUAGCAGGGAAGAAGCGAAAGUGACGGUACCUGCAGAAAAAGCGCCGGCUAACUACGUGCCAGCAGCCGCGGUAAUACGUAGGGCGCAAGCGUUAUCCGGAAUUAUUGGGCGUAAAGAGCUCGUAGGCGGUUUGUCGC
rnacentral:rRNA from 1 species